GCAUGAAGCGCGGCGACAUUCGCGUAUUGGGUGCCGCGUCCUACGCCACGCCGCUGUUGUCGACCGCAUUCCUGAUCAUUGCCGGCUUUGCGAAGCCCACCGCGACGCUCGCCAUCGCGGCGGCGUUGAUCGCAGGUGGCGGACUGAUCGCGGCGAAGGACAUGAUCGUUAAACGAGGGGCAUGAUCCCGAAAAGUGGAA
rnacentral:misc_RNA from 1 species